UACGAAGGGUGCAAGCGUUACUCGGAAUUACUGGGCGUAAAGCGUGCGUAGGUGGUUCGUUAAGUCUGAUGUGAAAGCCCUGGGCUCAACCUGGGAAUGGCAUUGGAAACUGGCGACCUAGAGUGCGGUAGAGGGCAGUGGAAUUCCCGGUGUAGCGGUGAAAUGCGCAGAUAUCGGGAAGAACACCCGUGGCGAAGGCGGCUCUCUGGGACGGUACCGACGCUGAGACGCGAAAGCGUGGGGAGCGAACAGG
rnacentral:rRNA from 1 species